AGCUGGUCCAAGUCCAAUGAUUUCUCCAACUAGUGGAUCACAACCAGUUAAAGAGAUCUUUGUUCUUUUUCAACUUCUAUUGCCUCACUUAACUAGCCUUUA
rnacentral:Y_RNA from 1 species